rnacentral:rRNA from 1 species
GACGAACGCUGGCGGCGUGCUUAACACAUGCAAGUCGAGCGGUGCGGCGGACGGGUGAGUAACGCGUGAGUAACUGACCCCCUCUCUGGGAUAACAGUUGGAAACGGCUGCUAAUACCGGAUAGUGGGGGAUGACGCGCGUCCUAUCAGCUUGUGGGUGGGGUAGUGGCAUGCCAAGGCGACGACGGGUAGCCGGGCUGGGAGGGCGAACGGCCACAUUGGGCUGAGAUACGGCCCAAACUCCUAUGGGGGGCAGCAGUGGGGAAUAUUGCACAAUGGGGGAAAGCCUGAUACAGAAACGCCGGGUUCGGGAUGACGGCCUUCGGGUUGGAAACCGCUUUCAGCUAUGACGCGGUAGUGGCAGAAGAAGCACCGGCUAACUCCGUGCCAGCAGCCGCGGUAAUUC